rfam:Brettanomyces bruxellensis AWRI1499 AWRI1499_contig3057_scaffold70, whole genome shotgun sequence.
GCCGUUCUAGUAUAGUGGCUAGUACUCAUCGUUGUGGCCGAUGCAACCCAGGUUCGAUUCCUGGGAACGGCA